GACGAACGCUGGCGGCGUGCUUAACACAUGCAAGUGGUGCGACGAACCAGGCUUCGGCCUGGGGCAGAGCCGCGAACGGGUGAGUAACACGUGGGCAACCUGCCCUGUUGAUCGGGACAACCCGGGGAAACCCGGGCUAAUACCGAAUGUGGUGCCGGCUCAUGAGAGCCGUCACGAAAGGAAGCUUCGGCCUCCGCGACAGGAUGGGCCCGCGGCCUAUCAGCUUGUUGGUAAGGUAAUGGCUUACCAAGGCUAUGACGGGUAGCUGGUCUGAGAGGAUGAUCAGCCAGACCGGGACUGAGACACGGCCCGGACUCCUACGGGAGGCAGCAGUUGGGAAUAUUGCGCAAUGGGCGAAAGCCUGACGCAGCGACACCGCGUGCGGGAAGAAGGUCUUCGGACUGUAAACCGCUUUUUAAGGGGAACAAUUUUUGAGCGUACCCUUAGAAUAAGCACCGGCUAAACACGUGCCAGCAGCCGCGGUAA
rnacentral:rRNA from 1 species